rnacentral:rRNA from 1 species
AGCGAACGCUGGCGGCAGGCUUAACACAUGCAAGUCGAACGGGCACUUCGGUGCUAGUGGCAGACGGGUGAGUAACACGUGGGAACGUACCUUUCGGUUCGGAAUAAUCCAGGGAAACUUGGACUAAUACCGGAUACGCCCUUCGGGGGAAAGAUUCAUCGCCGAGAGAUCGGCCCGCGUCUGAUUAGCUAGUUGGUGAGGUAAUGGCUCACCAAGGCGACGAUCAGUAGCUGGCCUGAGAGGAUGAUCAGCCACAUUGGGACUGAGACACGGCCCAAACUCCUACGGGAGGCAGCAGUGGGGAAUAUUGGACAAUGGGCGCAAGCCUGAUCCAGCCAUGCCGCGUGAGUGAUGAAGGCCUUAGGGUUGUAAAGCUCUUUUGUCCGGGAAGAUAAUGACUGUACCGGAAGAAUAAGCCCCGGCUAACUUCGUGCCAGCAGCCGCCGUAACAC